rnacentral:rRNA from 1 species
GCUUCUGAAGAAUCAUUUGAAGUACUUAGUGGCGGACGGGUGAGUAACGCGUGGGUAACCUGCCUCACACUGGGGGAUAGCAGUUGGAAACGACUGAUAAUACCGCAUAAGCGCACAGUAUCGCAUGGUACAGUGUGAAAAACUCCGGUGGUGUGAGAUGGACCCGCGUCUGAUUAGCCAGUUGGCGGGGUAACGGCCCACCAAAGCUACGAUCAGUAGCCGGCCUGAGAGGGUGUACGGCCACAUUGGGACUGAGACACGGCCCAAACUCCUACGGGAGGCAGCAGUGGGGAAUAUUGCACAAUGGGGGAAACCCUGAUGCAGCGACGCCGCGUGAGUGAUGAAGUAUUUCGGUAUGUAAAACUCUAUCAGCAGGGAAGAUAAUGACGGUACCUGACUAAGAAGCACCGGCUAAAUACGUGCCAGCAGCCGCGGUAAUACGUAUGGUGCAAGCGUUAUCCGGAUUUACUGGGUGUAAAGGGUGCGUAGGUGGUAGUGCAAGUCAGAAGUGAAAACUAUGGGCUCAACCCAUAGACUGCUUCUGAUACUGUUCAACUAGAGUGCAGGAGAGGAAAGUGGAAUUCCUAGUGUAGCGGUGAAAUGCGUAGAUAUUAGGAGGAACACCAGUGGCGAAGGCGGCUUUCUGGACUGCAACUGACACUGAGGCACGA